rnacentral:misc_RNA from 1 species
UUUUCAUUUGAAAAAUGGCUAUUCAAGAACUUCCUAAGAAUGUACAAUCAUUAAUACGUUCGAGUAUUUCGGUUCCAAGUGUAUCACAAGCUGUGAUUGAAUUGGUGCUGAAUUCUAUUGAUGCUGGGGCAACUUCUGUUGCUGUAUAUGUUGAUCUUAAAUAUUUUAAAAUUCGCGUCGAGGAUGAUGGAUGUGGAAUGACUCAAGAUCAGUUAGAGCUUAUUUGUGGGAGGUAUAUGACCAGCAAAUGCUAUUCAGUCGAAGAUCUUAAGGAUGGUUUACGUUUUUUUGGAUUUCGUGGAGAAGCUCUGGCUAGUAUCCGAGAUGCUUCUGGUGUCUUGUCAAUUAUCACAAAGCAUGCUACAAGCAAACAAGCAUAUUCCAAAAUGUUUGUGCGUGGAAUAUCAUUAAAAAUUUCACCAUGUACAUUAAAGAAUAUGGAUGCUGGGACAACAGUCAUAGUGCAGGAUUUUAUGUACAAUUUACCUGUUAGACAAAAGUGCACACAUGAUACAUUGGAUGUUGAGGAAAUUAAGCGUCAGAUUGAGUGCAUUGCUCUGAUGCAUCCACAGAUAUCAUUCAGCCUUCAUGACGAGUGCAAAGGAUGCACAAUCCUUCAAAAACAUCGAAGUGCUGAUCUUCAAAGUUGUUUUUCCCACUUGUUUGGUAUGACUGUUGGUCAGACCCUGGCACCUGUACAAUACAAAGCAGAUAACUUAACCAUACAUGGGUACAUUGGGAAAGAGUCCUCAAAGUAUAAAAACUUACAGUUUGUGUAUGUUAAUAAAAGAGUAGUGCUGAACACAAAAAUACAUCAAUUAGUGAAUAAUAUAUUAGCAAAGAGCUCUAUUUUAAGAGCCAAUGGGCCAUGGCGUUACAAGCCCAUACCAAAGGAAAUGAGUUCCAAAAGUCUACUGUCAAUGCCAAACCUUAAUCGACGGAAUAGAUUUGGUGUUUAUGUUCUUAAUUUGCAGUGUCCAUAUGCGGAAUAUGACAUAUGCUUUGAUCCUAAGAAAACAGUAAUUGAAUUCAGGAAUUGGAAGCACAUACUAAAUUGUUUUGAAGAAUGUAUGAGACAGUUUCUAGAGAAAGAAAAUUUGAUAGAUAGUUCUCUUGUUGAAGGAACAGAAGUUCCUGGAACCUCACCACUGACAUUUCUUGAGACCAUCGAAAAGGAAACUUUUCAAAACCAAUCCACAGAACCAAGCAGUGAUGAGGAGCCAUUUACACUCCACAUCAAACGUGCAUUUCAUGGGGUACCAGCCAGAAGAGGUGGCAUUUUAGAAGUUGAUAAAAUAACAUUUAAUUAUGAAGAAACAUCUCACAGAACUUCAAAUAAACCCAAGUGCACUGACAAAUAUAUAACUAAUGAAGUUGCAGUAGGAGAUACUUCUGCUUAUUCAUGUACUAAGUUCCUAAAGAAACAAGAAACUUCAUUUGCUGAAACUAGCACAACAUAUAAGCAGUUGAGUUGUGAUACACCAGUUUCUUCAACAGAUGUUUUCCUUACAUCAAAUACAAUGGAUCAAAAGCUCUGUAAAAAUAGUGAAGUUCCCACUUCAAUGUCUGUGCUAUCAGAAUCAGAUGCUGUGACUCCUUUUUCUUCUAAUGUUUCAGAUGUGUUUACUUUGCAGCAAAAGUCUUGUGGAAAUUUAGGCAUAGAUAAGCCUCAAAAGGAGUUUUAUCCUUUUUGUGGAAAGGAAAUUACUGUUUCUGAAGACAGUAGAAAUUUGGUAUCCUCAAGUAGUCUUAAAGAACAUCAGGAUAUGAGUUUUGAGACGCAUAAUGACCAUCAGGAUAUGAGUUUUGAGAUGCAUAAUGACCAGGCUUAUAAUCACUGUGUGCAGACAGGAAGCCAGAAAUUCACAACUCGUAUGACAGCAGACAAAUUUGUUCAAUCAGGUAACAAUGUAUUCAAACAAAAGUUACAUGUAUCUAGUUUGUUGGCUAACUGCAAGUCUUUGCCAUCAGAAUGUAAUGAAACACAGGGGUCUUCUCAAAAGCUGAAUCAUCAAUCAAGUAGGGAGCAAACUUAUUUUUCUACAGAUUCUUCAGGGAGUGAUCAGAAACAAUACUUCCUUCCUAAUGCCCAGGUGUCUAAGAACAAUCAUGAAAGGAGGAAGGAAAGUGGAAAACAUAGUAGCUUUAUGAAUGCUGAAGAAUUUGUUCAAACCUGUGAUAAGGAAUUAUCACAAGAAUUACAUGAACAAGACCAAAUUUAUCCAUCAGUGCACAAGACAAAUCAAUAUGAACACAUAAGUGCUGAGGAUCCAGCACGCAAUUCCACUGCAUUUAACAAUGAAGAUUGUAAGAUCACACAAGAUAUACAACUUGCACAUCUCAAAGAGGUAACAUUUGAAGAAUGCACACAGAAAAAAAAACAUCAAAUAUCUGCAGCAGAAUCACUUAGCAUUAAUGAUAUAUUUUGUGUUACAGAAGGGGACUUUGCAACUAAAGACUUCAUUAGAUCUCCUUAUUUUACAAAUGGCAAAGGAUUUUCUGAUAAUGAAAUGAAAGUAGCAAGUCCAGACUCUGAUGUGAAUAAUUAUUCCACAUGUGAGGAAAAUAUGAUGGCAAAUGGUGAGUCUUGCCACAAAGAGUGUGAUGCAGGUGGUCAUUUUAAUGAUUUUGUAAAAGUAAAUAGGAACAGGAAGAGAGUCAGCCGUGACGGACGUGAUGCGCCAAGUGAAAAACAGAGAUUACUUGAAAUGACAAAAGUAACUCAUGUGAUAAAUUCAAAUGUAUACUUUGAUCAGUCUUAUAAUGAGAAUUUACUAAAUGAAGACAGGGAAUCUGCUGGUGAAGAAGAAAAGAAAUUUUUUUGUCACUACUCACCACAGGAAGGAUUGAGUCACUCAGUAGUCAAUGAGAAAUUGAGAGAAACUGAGAUCCCACAAGAAGUUUAUAGUAGUCAAAUGACAAACAGUGAAGAACAAAGUGAAGACACUAGUAAAUCACCAUUUUGGCUCCAACUGUUUGAUUCUUCUGGAAGAGCCUUUUAUGUUCAUAGUGAUAGUGGGGUGACAUCGUAUAGUGCACCAGCAAUAGAAAAUAUUAACAUGAAAUACACGAUUGAAGGACGAUACAGUUUCCUGCCAAAAGGCUUGUCACCAGGGGUCCAGAAAACAGUACUUCACAACAAGAGUGACUUGAAACCAGGGACUCGGCAGGAGCUCCACAAAAUGCUACUGAAUGAUGUCUCUUCUACAAAUGAAUCAGCUGAAGCUAAAUGGAGAAAUGCUGUUGGUUCGGAAAGUGCAGAGUCUAAAAAACUUGUGAAGAAACUAUUACUUGAUGCUGAAAGCCGGAUGAAGCACUCCAGAAAGCCAAAUGAAUCAUUGUAUGAAAAGAAACUUGCGAAGUUGUCGGCAAAAGUAUCGCAGAUAAUGUAUCCGACAGAAUACAAAAAAAAUAUAUUUUGUAAUAUGCAUCAUUUGUGGGUGAGAAUUUGUCGAUUUUGACCCAAAUACCAAGAGGCAGGUUCCUGGUUGCUUCUCCAUGACAACACCUCAGCCCACAGAGUGAAGACUGUGUACAAGUUUUUGGGCAGCAAAUGGUUCACAGUCCUGGAUAACCAAUCAUGUUUGCUGAAUUUGGUUCCAUCCGACUUCUGGUUGUUCGCCAAAUUGAAGACGGCCAUGGAAGGUUGUAGGACAAUGUGACAAAAAAUUUAUUAUUGUAUAUUGUAGUUUUGUGGAAGACAAAGCACCUCAUGUAAUAGGAGCUUUUGAUCAGCAUGCAGUACAUGAGAGGAUAAGACUGGAAACAUU